rnacentral:rRNA from 1 species
CCUACGGGUGGCAGCAGUGGGGAAUAUUGCGCAAUGGGCGAAAGCCUGACGCAGCGAAGCCGCGUGAGGGAUGAAGGUCUUCGGAUCGUAAACCUCUGUCAGCAGGGAAGCACGGUAACUGUGCUAAUCAGCAGUGAAUUGACGGUACCUGCAAAGGACGCACAGGCUAACUCCGUGCCAGCCGCCGCGGUAAUUCGGAGGGUGCGAGCGUUUAUCGGAAUUACUGGGCGUAAAGCGGUCGUAGGCGGUAUGUCAAGUCAAGGGGGAAAUCCCCGCGCUCAACGUGGGAACUGCAUUUGAAACUGUCAAACUGGAGUGUGUGAGAGGAUAGUGGAAUGCCAGGUGUAGGAGUGAAAUCCGUAGAUAUCUGGAGGAACAUCAGUGGCGAAGGCGACUAUCUGGCACAUAACUGACGCUGAGGAGCGAAAGCGUGGGUAGCAAACAGGAUUAGAUACCCGGGUAGUC